UCCUAUUUUUAUUUCAUUUUCCAAACAACUCUCUCUUUCCACUUUUCCCUAUUCCUUCGUCCUCUCUUGUUCUUCCCUCACAAUCCAGAAAAACCUCCUCCUCUGUUCUUCUGUCUCUCUCCGAUCAGAAUCUCCACUCCUCCUCUCUCUCAUUCAGAAUCAUGGAGCUUACAUGUCCCUGCGGGAAUGGAUAUCUAAUCAGGAAGGUAACAACAAAAGGCCCUAACAUGGGUCGUCCAUAUUACAAAUGCCCUGGUUUUGAUAAGGCAAGUCUUGAAAUAAUUUUUGUACACUUUUAUUUUAUGUUAUAUAUCUUAACAUUUAUUAUUUGACAGGAAAAUAACAUCAGUGAGUGAUUGUAAUUUCUACUCAUUUGAGGAUGAACUCAAGCACUGUCCCAGUGGACGUGGCUUUUGCCGCACAAUCUUUCGACAUAAAAAAAAAAUUGGUGUUGUUGUGUUAUGGGAGAUGGUGAUUGUAGAUUCUCUGAGAUUAUUACAUCAACCUGGCAACCGCCUUCGAGUUUCACUCCCGCGGCACAAUCUCUGUCUCCUUCCAGCCGAAGUCAGCCUCUUUCCAGUAACCAAGGAGCAAGGAGCAAUGUGAUGAGGAAGCAUGAACUACUUGUACGAUCUCCCGAAGUGGCUCAAACAAGUUCUGCGGUCUAUCUUGAUCUUAUUAAAGAAUUUGC